CUGACAAUUUGCGUCCUUGAGCUCAGCAAUUUGGUGCUUGCAUGUUGGCUUAUGGCUGUUCUCUUUUGUUUUUAUCUGCAACCAGAAGUGACAGAAGAGGUUGUAGCCAAAUACAGUCAACGCUGAAUGACAUUUUAUGAACUAAAAACCCACGUGAAAGGGCUCAGGUUCUAAGACAAAUGACACAACUCCAAGACAAAGAAUGCUGUGGAAGCGAUCUGUCAAUUACAUGGUUCCCCUCGACACAGAUGAAGGCCCCACCCACUGAUCCCGCCUUGAACAAAUAUCCACCCACUCACACGCUGUGUCAGUUCACCAGCACCUCCACGGCCCUUCCCCCACCUCAGCCCGCUUCCUUCUCAGUAUUCUGGCGGCAGCGAUGAGCGCUGCCAGCGCCUAUCGAUCAGACAUUUAGCUGAAUGUUCUCAUCGAACAGCCGGCUGCCGCGGACGAGACGCACGUGGGGAGACUGGGAAACAGCCUCACACAUGCACAGAAGAAGAGCCUAAGGCUGAAUGACGGAACGGUCUCACUGACAACUGAUACACACUUAAUUAACAAAUAAUUAUAUAGUAAUUAAAUAACCAUUCAAUUUUGCCUGCUUGGGCAACCAAAUUUAGACACAGGUGAUCAGAGAGUUGAAUGUGUCAUUCCAAAUCAAUAGGCGUUGGCUUAACAGGUUGCAUGCGUUUUACAACCAUCUCAUCUUCACUUCCUUGGAAUGACUCUCAAGCAGCACCUCCAGGAGCUCAGGCUGCUCCAGACGUCCCACAGCCACGGCUUUGGUCGCUACAAAGCUCUGGUAUCUUCAUGGGAGUAAAUCUGGUGUUUGGUGCCCAGGAGCAAAAGUGCAGUCAGUGAGCUGAAGCCUUUAAACGUCUGCUGUGGGCAACAUGUUUAACAAUAGGCCUUCUAUAAGCAGCAGAGGUAGGAAAUGUCCACAAUACUACCUUUGCUUUUACUGUUUAAACUGAGCGUGCAGUACAGAUUUUACAUGUAAUUAGGAAAAUGAUGACGUAGAUAAGGGCCUUAGCAGCAACAACGUGCCCCUCCCUGAUUUGUCAAACCGCAAUCACAGACCUCUUUUCCAGGUCUACCAGUGAUUUGUUUAAACCUUACUGCCAACUAGGGCUGUCACCUUUUGUUGUGCAAUUAUUGCACCAAAAUUAAUUGUGAUAAACAAUAUUAUUGUCAUUUUCAGACCAUUUUAUGCCAUUGAUUACAUAAUGACAAAAUGACAAUAUAAUUGCAUAAUAAUGGAAGUAUGCUCUUUCAAAGAACAAAAAACGUGUUAUUCUUCAGAAUAUUUAGACAUUAGAAUGGGAAUGUGAAAUUAUAUUUUCUGAAUAAAUAAAACAAAUAAACAAUUAGGUACAAAGGACACGGAGCUUGGUGCGAUGCGGUAGGGUUCGAGAAAAUGUGUUCACCGGAAAGGUGCACCACACUAGCCAGGAAGGUGGCUAGGGGGCAACAAACGGGCAAUACAGGGCAACGUGCUCCGUGGCAGGGCCGCUGGUAGCCACGGGGCAUCUCGGUCCCGCUACCGAGGAGGAGGUCCAGGGACCUUGUCCUGCGCGCGACCCUGUUAUGGGUCAGCUGCCGUUUUUCCCCAUCCGGGGUGUUUGUAUCUUUUCCCCUGUGUGUGUGUCUGUCUGUGCUUCUUGUCCCCACCUACAAGAGGCGUGGCCAGCCAUCCUGCUCCGUCCCCACAGCUGAUCCUCAUUUCACAAUCCACCCCUGCAGUAUUUAGACCCGGGCUGUCUGUUUCUCCAGCGCCAGAGCGUUACACACCCACACGUGAUCCCGCUGUCCCUGUUCUGUCCUGCCGUCUGCCUCCGUCCAUCCGGCGUCCUCACCUAGCUGUCUCCUUCCCUAGAAAUCUGUACUCAUUAAAUCGCUUCUACAGAUUAUCACUCCUGGUUGAAUCGCUGUGUGCUGGGUUGAACAUCCGCCUCCUUAACAGAACGAUCUGGCCAUGGACCCUACAGAGAUUCCCCAGGCUGUUCAGGCGGAUGGCACACAACGAGCAAUCAACUCUCAAGGAAUUUUGCUUGGCCAACACGACCAGUUGAUUCGCACCCUUCUGGAGAACAAUCAGCAGUUAAUCAACCAGGUCACCCUAUUAACAACACAAGUGGCUAACCUCUCUGUUCCCAAUCCCCCAUUGCUCUCUGUUCCUUCCGUCUCAUCACCUGUUUCUUCAGACAUGGCAACCAGUCCGUUCCACUGCGAGCCUCCCAUCAACUCACCUGAACCUUUUUCUGGGGAGCUGGAUAAAUGCCGUGGAUUUCUCCUACAAUGCGGGUUGAUCUUCCAGCAACGGCCGCAGUCCUUCAUCACUGAGUCAUCUAAACCAGUGUUUUUCAACCUUUUUUGUGUCAAGGCACACUUAAGACACAGAAAAAAUCUCACAGCACACCAACAAACGGAAAUGAUAUGAAAAUCAAUCCCAAACAUAGUUUCAGCAUGAGCAUAAUAUACUCUAAGAAAUCAGGGAACCGCGUGUUCUAUUUGUUGUGUUUUCUUAAACUUAACAUCAUCCUAAUUGCCGGUUCGCCUCUGCCUGCUCCUUCUGGAUGGCCGCCAGCUCCCCGACCAUCUGGCCGAGCGCCACAAGCCGCUGGGUCGGCAUCCCCUGCCGGUGUCCGUCAGCCGUCAUUUCCUCCCCCUAGCCAAGUUGGGUGCCACUGUAACAGGUUGGUCCUCUGGGGGGGUCUUGGAAUGACGAGCACGAGGCAGUCGGGAGUGUCACGACUCACUCUAUACAGUCUGUCCCCAAUCAAUGAAAAGUGCGGAAAUGACUGGGCUGCGUCAGGGCGCACCAGGUGACCAUCAAUACAUAUCACUUGGUCGUAGGCUGAGCGUAGGGUAUCGUCACGAGACUGUUCGAGUGGAAAAUCUUCCAUGGAGCGAAACUCUGCGCCUCCCGUAGAGACUCCGCCGGCUCCCCCUCCCCGUCUGCAGCGUCGGACGACCCCGCGUCACCGCUGAGCACAGCACACAUCUCGCAUAACCCUGUCAGUCGUGAACGCAGCCCCGUAGCCCCGCCCAUUAACUUAUCAAACCCCGGCCAAUCUGUACCUAAAAUGACGGGGUGCGUCAGGUGGGAGCUAACCGCGACCUUCAUUCUAUGCUUUUUCCCCGCAUAUCUAAUUUGCACCGAUACCACAGGAUACUCCCCAUGCACACACCGUAUUCUCACCCUGUCUGCCUCCACCAAUGCCCCCGGACGAACCAGGCUCUGAU
ensembl:lncRNA